rnacentral:rRNA from 1 species
CUACGUGCCAGCAGCCGCGGUAAUACGUAGGGCGCGAGCGUUGUCCGGAAUUAUUGGGCGUAAAGAGCUUGUAGGCGGUUUGUCGCGUCUGCUGUGAAAGGCCGGGGCUUAACUCCGUGUAUUGCAGUGGGUACGGGCAGACUAGAGUGCAGUAGGGGAGACUGGAAUUCCUGGUGUAGCGGUGGAAUGCGCAGAUAUCAGGAGGAACACCGAUGGCGAAGGCAGGUCUCUGGGCUGUAACUGACGCUGAGAAGCGAAAGCAUGGGGAGCGAACAGGAUUAGAUACCCUGGUAGUCCAUGCCGUAAACGUUGGGCACUAGGUGUGGGGGACAUUCCACGUUUUCCGCGCCGUAGCUAACGCAUUAAGUGCCCCGCCUGGGGAGUACGGCCGCAAGGCUAAAACUCAAAUGAAUUGACGGGGGCCCGCACAAGCGGUGGAGCAUGUGGUUUAAUUCGAUGCAACGCGAAGAACCUUACCUGGUCUUGACAUCC